UAGAGUUUGAUCCUGGCUCAGAACGAACGCUGGCGGCGUGGAUAAGACAUGCAAGUCGAACGGGAGUUUAUUUAUAGCAAUAUGAGUGAACUCUAGUGGCGAAAGGGUGCGUAACACGUGGCUACCUACCUCGAAGUUGGGGAUAGCUCGGCGAAAGCCGGAUUAAUACCGAAUGUGAUCGUGAGAUCAAAGCUGGGGAUCGUAAGACCUGGCGCUUUGAGAUAGGGCUGCGGCCUAUCAGGUAGUUGGCGGGGUAAUGGCCCACCAAGCCUAAGACGGGUAGCUGGUCUGAGAGGACGACCAGCCACACUGGAACUGAGACACGGUCCAGACACCUACGGGUGGCAGCAGUCGAGGAUUUUUCUCAAUGGGGGAAACCCUGAAGGARSGRMSSCSSSKKRRGGRAUGAAGGUCUUCGGAUUGUAAACCUCUGUCAUCUGGGAACAAAGUGCUCCACCUAACACGUGGAGUAUUGAUAGUACCGGAAGAGGAAGCWGUGGCUAACUCUGUGCCWGCCGCCGCGGKAAUUC
rnacentral:rRNA from 1 species